AUAAGGAAAGCUAUAUCUGUGAAGGACCAUCUAGUGCAAUUCCCUGCCUUCCAUAAAUUUCAAAGAAAUGGUAACUACAUUGUUCUCUUUGGAACUGUAGAAGUGCCAAUGUCACGGUAUGACUUGGUACACCUAUCUGUUUCAGUUAUGCUCUGUUGUCCGGGGGGCAAGAUAUCAAGCUCAUUUUCCUGGAUCUAUCCUGAUCUAUAGGCCUUUCAGUCUGCUUGGAGUCUGGAUGUGGGGAUAAACUUACACUACCAAUGAGGAAGUACAUCCAAAAUCUUCUAAAGGUUAACAUGGAGGAACCCUAUGGACCAGAAUGGCCUUCAGAAGAGAAAAUUAAGCGCCAAGAAAUGGUGGCCCCAGAAGCGCGAUAUAUCUUUAUCAAGCAAUAUUCAAAUGGGUUCACUACUGAAUGUUCCAUGAAUCAAGGUGCAGGGGUGGAACAUAACCACACAUCAUGUAAUGAAGGUCGCUUGGUUGGUUUUGUACACUAUAGGUUUGUUUUGGAAGAGGACCUGCCUGUUGUUUAUGUAUAUGAGCUACAAAUGGAGCCUUCUGCCCAGGGUAAGGGGCUGGGAAAGUUUAUGAUGCAGUUAAUUGAACAGAUAGCUUGCAAGGUAGUAUACUAAUAUGGUCAAUUCGUAGUCCUAGCUAUUUAUUGUUCCAAUUUUCUUAAUAUUAAUAUAUUAUUCAUGAUACCAAACUAUUUUUAUGUCAGUAUUGCCAGUUGCAUGUUUUAGUUCAAUAGCUGUCCUGACUCCUGACAUUCCACCACAUGUACGCAGAACCAAAUGGGAGCUGUGAUGCUAACGGUUCAGAAAGCUAAUACUCAAGCUAUGGCUUUCUAUACUAAGUUGCGAUAUGUAAUAUCUAGUACCUCACCAUCACGAGUGGAUCCUCAGAUAGGAAUUGAAAAAAGCUACGGGAUAUUAUGCAAGACAUUUGACUCUCAAACUAAGUCUAAAUUAGAGGAUGGCGAUGAAGAACUCUGAAGUCAAAAGUCUCAGGAUGGGCGUGAUGGCCACAAUCCCCAUUCCCCAUAGCAUGACCUGUAGGCUGUAGCUAAGCCACAAGUUUACAUGACACAUUGUCAUGCGGCCCUGUUAGUGCAAUUAAAAUUCACAGUGUGGCACUGGCACGCUUGGCCGAGAUCACAAUUUUCAUCCUAUAUGUCGGCAUCUUCUGCUUAGCAAAUUGAGCCCAGCUGUUAACAACUCUGCUCAACUCGCUGUAAACUUGUAAUAGUUACGAUGGAUCAUUUGAUGUGUGAGUAUGUCAUAUUUCUUCUAAAAAACCAUUUUUACAUGUCC